rnacentral:rRNA from 1 species
AUUGAACGCUGGCGGCAGGCCUAACACAUGCAAGUCGAACGGUAGCACAGAGAGCUUGCUCUCGGGUGACGAGUGGCGGACGGGUGAGUAAUGUCUGGGAAACUGCCUGAUGGAGGGGGAUAACUACUGGAAACGGUAGCUAAUACCGCAUAACGUCGCAAGACCAAAGAGGGGGACCUUCGGGCCUCUUGCCAUCAGAUGUGCCCAGAUGGGAUUAGCUAGUAGGUGGGGUAACGGCUCACCUAGGCGACGAUCCCUAGCUGGUCUGAGAGGAUGACCAGCCACACUGGAACUGAGACACGGUCCAGACUCCUACGGGAGGCAGCAGUGGGGAAUAUUGCACAAUGGGCGCAAGCCUGAUGCAGCCAUGCCGCGUGUAUGAAGAAGGCCUUCGGGUUGUAAAGUACUUUCAGCGGGGAGGAAGGUGUUGUGGUUAAUAACCACAGCAAUUGACGUA